rnacentral:sRNA from 1 species
CACACACACACACACCACCCGCCAUGCCGCUCACGAAAUAACCGCUCGCCCGUUCCACGGAAGCAGCCGUGGGUGCGGGCGGGAAGUUCCUUUCAGCCUCCAAAUGAUGCCCGCUAGGCAGACCUGGGUGUCCUGGCAGCGGAAGUCAAUGAUGCAUCUAACAGCGGGCAGACAUCUAUGUAUGCAUCUCGCCUCACUUUCCUGUCCUCUCGCUACACCCUCGUAGUAUUCUUAGACACUUGGAGAAUCAUAACUAAAGGUUGCACUCUUCACGCUCCUGCGCCACAUUGCUAGCGCUAAAGUACCCUGACGCUUAACGAGCCCCAUUGAGCCCCACCAACAAAGGCCCCAAGAGCGGAAGCAGAGCGAUGUGGCUUCAACAUUGCGGGGUGUAACGGAGGCUGAUUGGGCUAUUGUUUCUUGCUACAUAUUUUGCUGCAUGGAGAUUGCAAACCGCCAGCGGUGUAAGAUACAGGUUUUUCAGUACCAUACAGAAUUCGGUGACAACUCAAACAUCAAUCGUAUCAUAACAAAUACGGUAUGUCGGGACAGUUGAUGUCGUAUGCAUCGUAUUUCUGGCAAGGGAAAUACACGCGGUGUCGGGAGGAUGAGGCUUCGGAACAGCCCACGAGGAGCCCUGGAGAGGAGAUUCGGGAACGGUUGGCUGUGACGGGGAAAAGUUGGUCGUGGCAAAUGAACAAGCAGCGAGGACCAUCCUUCACUGCUUUCCUGGCGGUUUUUUUUUGUUCUUUUUUUUUUU